UGUUUUACCAGUCAGUAAACAAUUCAUGUAUCGUUGUAUUUGGGUUCAUAUAUAUAUAACUUAAUUUGUUUCUGGAAUAUUUUUUACACUUGCGAAAGUCAUCGACGACAGAUAGAUUGCUUGCCUCAUGCUAGUGACAUAUAUAUGCUAAUGUACAAAUGAAGUAUCAUAAAUUAAAGAGUUAAAGAUAACAAAUCAAGGUUACUAAACCGACGGCGUACCUUACGGCCCAACUUGUUCACCUGGCAAACAUUAUCUUACCAGAUUCCUAAGUUCAAGGAUUCUAACUCAACAGCAGAGUCAACUGAUCCAACACUUAUUUUUGAAAAUUCACAUUUAUACCAACUACUUCAUGUAAGUACUUAUUAUUUGCAAAAUCUCAUACAACUCUUGUGUGUGGUUUCAGAGGGGUUGGGAUGACAAACUGUUGCAGUAGUAUGUUUAGGCCAAACUUUAUUUAGGCAUAACUCAUAAAUGAAAAUAAUGUAACAGAUAUGCACAUCGAUCAAGUAUUUCUAUAUUACCUACAAGGCUUCCUGAAAAUCUGUUGUGAAUUUUCAAUGGAGUUUUCGUGACAAGAAAAGAACUGACGGACUAUGAUAACGGAACACAGUUCUGUGUGGUAUGAUAUAAACUGAGGGAAAUGAUCCUGGUAGUUAUUCUUUUUUGUUAUUUCGAGAUAUUAAUUUUUACAAACGUUUUCAUGUACACACUUAUUAUCUGCACAGACUCAUAAAACUCUUGAUUGUUGCGAUGACAAACUAUUGCAGCAGUAUGUCCAUGUCGAACACUACUAGUAUAUAGGCAUCAUUCAUUAAUGAAAACAAAUAAACAGAUAAAGGUAUCGAGAAAGUAUUUCAUUUUUAACUACAAGGCAGCAUAAAAAAAUUUUGUGAGUUUUCGUGACAAGAAAAGAACUGACGGACUAUGAUAACGGAACACAGUUCUGUUGGGGUAUGAUAUAAAUCAAAUGUACCAGGCGGAAAAUUUGAUAUGCCAGACGCGCGUUUCGUCUUUAUUAGACUCAUCAGUGACGUUCACAUCAAAAUAGUUAGAAAGCCGAACAAAUAAAAAGUUUAAACGUAAAAAUGUAAACAUUGCAACAGACCCCAUGGUGUUGUAGCAGACUGAAUUAUAAUGUUUUGUGUAAUUUAUUUAGACAGUUUGAGUUUCUUUUUGUUGAUUCUGUCGAAAUAUUAAGAAAUACAAACCAUUUCAUGUAGAAUUAUAUUAUUU
rnacentral:lncRNA from 1 species